UUCGCAAUGCCCGAAAGGGUGACGAAGCGACGCCGCGUGGGUGAGGAAGGCCCUCGGGUUGUAAAGCCCUGUCAGGAGUUAAGAAAUGUAAGUGCGCUAAUAUCGCAUUUAUUUGACGAAGGCUCCAAAGGAAGCCACGGCUAACUCUGUGCCAGCAGCCGCGGUAAUACAGAGGUGGCAAGCGUUGUUCGGAAUUAUUGGGCGUAAAGAGCACGUAGGUGGGUUUGUAAGUCAGAUGUGAAAGCCUUCUGUUCAACGGAAGAAUUGCAUCUGAAACUGCAGAUCUUGAGUGUAGGAGGGGAGAAUGGAACUUCUGGUGGAGCGGUGAAAUGCGUAGAUAUCAGAAGGAACGCAGGCGGCGAAAGCGAUUCUCUGGCCUAUUACUGACACUCAGUGUGCGAAAGCUAGGGGAGCAAACGGGAUUAGAUACCCCGGUAGUCCUAGCCGUAAACGAUGGGCACUAAGUAGAGGGGUUUU
rnacentral:rRNA from 1 species